AACUAUAACAUAUAGUCUGGACAUGAAUCUUCCAAGAUUCAGUUAGAAGCCUUUCGAAAAAUAAUAUGUUGCAGUGUUCUUGAGCAUUGCUUCUUCGAAAUCAUUCUCAUAAUAAUCCAUUUGCCCCUUCCAAUUUCACAAAUACAUCCAAUACAUUCUUCAGCAAAAAGCUUGAUCAAUUUUACUCACCUUCUUGCUCUUGAUCGAUCUGAUUUGGAAAAUUAAUUCACUAAACAGAACAGCAAAGAGAAAGCGAAACAGUUGGAGCAAUCACUGAAACAUGCCGGAGAUGUAACUGCAUCCCUUACGUUUCCAUUUAACUCUAUGUAUAGCUGAAAGAGAGUCCAAGCUACAACAAUGUUUGUGAACUUAAAAGGUGACAGGAAAAAAGGGAACUAGUGGAAAAAAUAAGCAAUUGCUUCAAAUUUGAAGGAAUACAAAUAAAAGUUACCCUAUCUCGAAAGCAUAAUAGACCAACUUCUUUAAGAGCUGGAAGUGACGUCCUAGCAAUAAAAUACCUAUCAAGAGAAUGUAAGAACCUCAACAGCCACCAGACCAUGAUUUUAUGGUUUGGCCAUCUUUUCACGAGCUCUCUCAACACGAAUUCAUCGUGUUUCUCUCUCAGUGAAGGAAUUACCUUGAAAAGAAAAAGAGUUACAGAAUCAGUAAAGGUCAAAAAUAAUAAAGUAAAACUGUAAAAGGAUGAAGAGCCAAAAUAUAAGGAAAAAUUUGACCAGAUCUCCGUGGGGAAUUCCAUGCGUUGCUUGGUCAACAUCGCCUUCGAGACGAAAUAGAGUAAAUUCGUACGUAGUGUUCAUUGAACUGAAUUUCACAGUGAUGCUACUGGAUUUUUCAAGUUGCCAAUAUUAAGUCUUCACGGGAAAAUAGUGGAGAAGUUUUAACUUUUAUUUAUAUUUUCCAAAUAGAGCAAAGUGUGUAUAUAAAUAGGGGAAUGGGAGGGUCAUUGCUCUUGAGACACAUGGAAUCGUUUGAUAUGAGAGCAGAAGAAGAUUGGAGGGAUUGCAAGCAUUUAUAUAGCAUUAAGCAAAGCUUUUACACUUAAUUCUCUAUACUUACAUUGCAAAUUGGAGAGAAGGACCUUUGUAGAAUUAAUAUAUGAUAGAUGAUACAACAUAGCAACCUUUUCGUAGAAUUUGUGUUCAAUGAUUAUCAAUCAUUCUUUGUGAGUGGGAUAAUCAGUAUCAAUCAAAAGCUCACCAUUUAGUAGAGUGAAGAGUAAUCAACUUCCAAGAAUGUGGAACGAAAUAAGAUGAUCUAAUAAAUUCUAGGACAGCCACAUAAGAUCAGACACUCUCCCACCCAAUAUUAUUUACCACUGGUGGAUUUUUUUAGUCAAAUUGACCUUGUAGAAGCAAUAUCCGUAAUUGUUCCUUACAAGUUACAACACCGACAACAAUAAGACAAAAAUAUAAGUUACAACAAGCACGGUCACCAUAGAAGACCCAAAGAUUCAUGUGAUAUGAAGAUACUAAAAAAUAAAUGAAUAAAUAAAUAAAACAUGAACAUACAGGUUCAUAAAUACCACUCUGUCUAAGAAAUAAACAGAGAGUCGACCUUACUGUUGAUAUAACAUACUCUUUCAGAUGACUCAGCGAUACUUGUCAUACAACUGCUGAGAGUAAUCAUGGGAACGCUUUCACGUGCACAUGUUAUAAAUUGUCAGAUUAAAGGAAAAUAAGAAUAAAUGAUAUGGUCACGAGUGUCUACAAAUCAAAAGGCUAAACUGGAGACAUAUAAAAAAAAUACGUUUAGAGCAUCAUAUAAUCUUCUGAGCUGAACUGCGGCUCAGGCUGCCCUUCUAAAAUGUUUUUCAGCUUUGUAAUCCCUUUUCACAUAAAGUCCCAUCCUUGUUCUAAAUCAAUUAUAUUCCGCUGAUUCAUGGUCAUUUUCUUUACCAGCCCAAGUUCAAUUGGCAAACAAACCCUAAUCCCUUCUAGAAGAAACUAUAGCCUGCCAAUAACACAUAAAUUGGUAAAUUAAUCAAUAAAAAACAUCAAAACGCUGUAAAUGACUAUAGCCAACCAGAAUUCAACUAAGAAAUAACACCACCCUAAAAUGAAAUCGAAGAACCAAGGGCAUCAUUCAACCACACCAAGUAAUUAUUAUCUUUAGCCAAUCUUUUGCCAAUGCAGACAAGAAAUGGGGCGCAUCACCUGAUCGUUUGUCAACUGAUUCUACUAUGAGUGAUUCUGGAGUAGAAUACUCUUUAAAGUACAAAACUGAUCAAGGAAGAGUUCUUGAGCGUACGACAUCAGCAGAUACUCUUCCGUACCGAUGAAUAGUAACAGAUGGAAUCUGUUUCGUGAAGAUGGUAUUUUUUGGCUUAUUUUUCGGGCCCUGCUACUUGGACAGGGACCUGUCCAAACAGGGGGCGAUGUGGCACCCUCUAUUGGCAUGUUGUCUGUGUUCCCGUUUAAGAAGAAUUACUCUAUUUUUCGUUGAACUUCUAUUUUACGUUGAACUUUUAAGCAGGACUGUAUCUCCGCUGAAGUUAACAACCAUCUAUUCUGGGAAGUUUCCUGAUGUAUAGUAUAAUAGAGGAAUUCCCAGUACUUUUUUCAUAAAUUAGUUAGGAUCCCAUAAUUGCAAGUACUACUUGAUGUCAAAUUUCUGUAUUGCUAUUAUAGCCUUGACUUAGUUCUCCGUUAUCUUCUUCAAAAUUACCAAUUUUAAGUAUCCCAUAAAAAAAAAAAAAAAAAAAAACUACCUCUCUUCUCUUACAAAAGAUACCUUGCACCCGAUUAGCCAUUAAAAA